CUGCUGGACAGGCAGGUAGUGUAGAUAGUGUGGAUCUACUGGCCAGGUAGGGAGUAUAGACAGGACGUCUCCGCUGGGCAGGCAGGUAGUGUAGACAGGGUCGACCUGCUUGACAGGCAGGUAGUAUAGACGGGGUGAAUCUGCUCGAUAGGCAGAUAGUAUAGACUGGUUGGAUGUGCUGGACAGGAAGGUAGCUUAGAUAGCAUGGGUCUACUGGCCAAUCAGGUAGUGUUGACAGGGCGGAUCUGCUUUGCAGGCAGGUAGUGUAGACAGGGUGGACCUACUGGAGAAGCAGGUAGUUUAGACAGGGUGGAUCUGCUGCCCAGGCAGGCAGUGUAGAUAGCGUGGAUGUACUGUCUAGGCAGGUUGUAUAGACAGGGUGGACCUGCUGGACAAGCAGGUCAUGUAGACAGGGUGGAUCUGCUGGGCAGGCAGGAAGUGUAGAUAGCGUGGAUCUACUGGCCAGGCAGGUAGUAUAGACAGGGUGGAUCUGCUGGGCAGGCAGGUAGUGUAGAUAGGGUGGAUCUACUGGCCAGGCAGAUAGUGUAGACAGGGGGGAUCUGCUGGACAAGCAGGUAGUAUGAUCUGCUGGACAGGCUGGUAGUGUAGACAGGGUGGACCUGCUUGAAAGGCAUGUAGUGUAGACAGGGUAGACCUGCUUGAAAGGCAGGUAGUGUAGACAAGGUGGAUCUGCUGGACAGGCAGGUAGUGUAGACAGGGUGGAUCUGCAGGAAAGGCAGGUAGUGUAGACAUGGCGGAACUGCUAGACAGGCAGGUAGUGUAGACAGGGCGGAUCUGCUGGCCAGGGAGGUAGUAUAGACAGGGGGUAUCUGCUGUACAGGCAGGUAGUGUGUAGAGGGUGGACCUGCUGGACAAGUAGGUAGUGUAGACAGGGUGGAUCUGCUGGCCAGGCACGUAGUGUAGACAGCGUGGAUAUACUGGCCAGGCAGGUAAUAUAGACAGGGUGGAUCUGCUGGGCAGGCAGGUAGUGUAGACAGGGUAGAUCUGCUGGACAGGCAGGUAGUGUAGACAGGGUGGAUCUGCUGGACAGGCAGGUAGUGUAGAGAGGGCGGAUCUGCUGGAUAGGCAGGUAGUGUAGACAGGGCGGAUGUGCUGGCCAGGCAGGUAGUAUAGAAAUGGCGGAUCUGCUGGACAGGCAGAUAGUGUAGACAGGGCGGAUCUGCGGGACAGGCAGGUAGUGUAGACAGGGCGGACCUGCUGGAUUGGCAGGUAGUGUAGACAGGGUGGACCUGCUUUAAAGGCAGGUACUGUAGACAGGGUGGAUCUGCUGGACAGGCAGGUAGUGUAGACAGGGUGGACCUGCUGGCCAGGCAGGUAGUAUAGACAGCGUAGGUCCGCUGGCCAGGCAGGUAGUAUAGACAGCGUAGGUCCGCUGGCCAGGCAGGUAGUGUAGACAGCGUGGAUCUACUGGCCAGGCAGAUAGU
rnacentral:lncRNA from 1 species